rnacentral:rRNA from 1 species
GAUGAACGCUAGCGGCAGGCCUAACACAUGCAAGUCGAGGGGCAGCAUAAAAUAAACUUGUUUAUUUGGUGGCGACCGGCGCACGGGUGCGUAACGCGUAUGCAACCUACCUUACACAGGGGGAUAGCCCGGAGAAAUUCGGAUUAAUACCCCAUAGCACUAUCGGAUGGCAUCAUUUGAUAUUUAAAGCUUUGGCGGUGUAAGAUGGGCAUGCGUCCUAUUAGCUAGUUGGUGAGGUAACGGCUCACCAAGGCUACGAUAGGUAGGGGGCCUGAGAGGGUGGUCCCCCACACUGGUACUGAGACACGGACCAGACUCCUACGGGAGGCAGCAGUGAGGAAUAUUGGUCAAUGGGCGCAAGCCUGAACCAGCCAUGCCGCGUGAAGGAUGAAGGUUCUAUGGAUUGUAAACUUCUUUUAUUUGGGAAUAAACCCCUUUACGUGUAGAGGGCUGAAGGUACCAAAUGAAUAAGCACCGGCUAACUCCGUGCCAGCCGCCGCGGUAAGAC